rnacentral:tRNA from 12 species
GCGCCCAUAGCUCAGCUGGAUAGAGUACCGCCCUCCGAAGGCGGGGGUCGCACGUUCGAAUCGUGUUGGGCGCGCCA